AGCCCGGUUGGCUACCCUGCACUGGGGGAAAGGAAAAGGGUAGAAAAAGUUAAGAAGAGAAAGUCCAGUGUUGAUAUCAUUUGGUCAC
rnacentral:lncRNA from 1 species